rnacentral:rRNA from 1 species
GACGAACGCUGGCGGCGUGCCUAAUACAUGCAAGUCGAGCGGACCACUUCGGUGGUCAGCGGCGGACGGGUGAGUAACACGUGGGCAACCUGCCUGUAAGACUGGGACAACACCGGGAAACCGGUGCUAAUACCGGAUAAUCCUUUCCUUCACAUGAAGGGAAUCUGAAAGACGGUUUCGGCUGUCACUUACAGAUGGGCCCGCGGCGCAUUAGCUAGUUGGUGAGGUAACGGCUCACCAAGGCAACGAUGCGUAGCCGACCUGAGAGGGUGAUCGGCCACACUGAGACUGAGACACGGCCCAGACUCCUACGGGAGACAGCAGUAGGGAAUCUUCCGCAAUGGACGAAAGUCUGACGGAGCAACGCCGCGUGAGCGAUGAAGGCCUUCGGGUCGUAAAGCUCUGUUGUCAGGGAAGAACAAGUACCGGAGUAACUGCCGGUACCUUGACGGUACCUGACCAGAAAGCCACGGCUAACUACGUGCCAGCCGCCGCCGUAACAC